rnacentral:rRNA from 1 species
AUGGCGCAGCCGCCGCCAUGGAAGGCGAUGUACCUGUAUGUGGCGAGCCAGGCGCGCGAAGACUGCGCCCGCGUCAAGCAAAGCGUCGCCGCCGCAGCCUUCGCCGCCGUGCGUGGCGCGCUGGCGUCCCCGGAGGUGCUGGACACCCGCGACGCCGAGGGGCGGUACACCUUGCUGGAUUCCGCGCUGACCCACAUCGAGCACGCAUCCGACUCCCUCUCCGGUUUCAUCGUCAACAUGGUGGUGGCCGAGCGCCUGGCGCUCCAUGGCUGCGGCGCCGUCCCGUCGGAGGCGGUGGCCCGCAUCGGCGACCUCCGCGACGACCACGACUACGAGUGGCUUGGUCUGAUCAGGCUCGAGGCCGCCAGGGAGCACGCCCAGGAGGCGCUCCGCGGGGUGGAGGGCGCCUUCACCCUCCUGGCCUCCGUCCGGUUCAUGCUUCACAGCCGGAACCCCGACGCUCCCGGGCGCCGGCAAGCCAUGGAGGGGCAGCUCCGCGCCGCCGCCCUAGAACUCCAGCCCGUGGUGAUCAGCGUGGAGAACAUGUGCGCCCUGGCCUUCAUGGCCACCGAGCGUGCCAUCCGCGACCGCAUCCAGUGA